GACGAACGCUGGCGGCGUGCCUAACACAUGCAAGUCGAACGGACGAGGGGAGCUUGCUCCCCGAGUUAGUGGCGAACGGGUGAGUAACGCGUGAGAAACCUGCCUUUCAGUGGGGACAACAGUUGGAAACGACUGCUAAUACCGCAUAACGUACUUUGGGGGCAUCCUCCUAGUACCAAAGAUUUAUUGCUGAAAGAUGGUCUCGCGUCUGAUUAGCUAGAUGGCGGGGUAACGGCCCACCAUGGCGACGAUCAGUAGCCGGUCUGAGAGGAUGGACGGCCACAUUGGGGACUGAGAUACGGCCCAG
rnacentral:rRNA from 1 species